CCAGCCAGGACUGGACAGCACACAGACACUUCUUCCAUUUGAUCUGCAAACUCAGAUGCAACAACUACUUUGUUGGAGGGACAACAUGACCAAGUCUUUCUCACCCAACAGCUGACUGAAGGACCCAGCAAGCUGCUCCUGGAUGCAGUGGAAGGUUGGAUUGCUUCAGCAGCCCUGACCUGCCCCCAGCAUGGUGAUGCUUGGAAGGAAAUCCUACAACCUGAGCACACACCCAGCUUCUUGCAGUCAUGCUGUCCUGCAUAAAGGCAACAGAUACCAUGAUCCAAACCAGGCUGUUGGGCCAAGAUAAAAGGUACCUGCUUCUAAUUCCUUUGCUGACAACAUGGCUGGGCUCAUUGUGGUGGAGAAACCAACCCUACACGACGUGGGAAGAAGGCAAAGGAGAAUACCCUGGUUUUCAGGGAGUGGUUUCCACUGUGUUCCAUCCAGACGUGCAACCAUCCCCUACAACUCUCUGCUCUGAUCUCAUCCUGGAGCCGGCUACAGGGGGCUGCCUGUGACACCAAGCAGGGCUGAAAAGGUGUUUCUGCAUUCUGGGUGAUGUUUAGACAUUCACACUUGUAAGAAUAAUAUUAUUUCUCCAAAAAAUCUUUGAGUGUGUUGGAGAUUAGUUUGGGUUUUGUGAUAUGCUAAAAGUUGGAAAGCAAUAAAGACUUUUUAUUGUGUAAAGUCAACAGACUAAGAAAGUAGCCAUCCCAGACUCAUUUGAUGCUAGAUAGUUGGGGGCAGUCCCCUGGGAGGCAGACAUGAAUUAAAUUUUAAAGGUGCAUCCCAGAAGUACACCCCGUUUCUCAGUCUGAGAUGACCACACAACCACGGAAACUGGGUAAAUGGGCUGAGGACAGUAGUUGCUUCUCUGGCUCUGCAUGCUCUGUAAAUAUCAGCUGAAUCAAGUGCUGUAGGUGAGAAAAGUGAAGGAAAACCUUGUUUUGUGGAUAUGGAUGGGAUUUUGUGUGGGCUAAACACCAACUGUUCAGCAUCUUUUGUGGAUGGAUCUAGCCCAACUGAUCAGAAGUGGCAUGUGCUGAGUGAAAAAAUACAUGUCUGAGGGAGUUCCUGGCCAUCAUUUUAUGGAUGAAAGGGAGAAGAAAAAGACAUUCCUGUGAGAUUCAUUUUCUUAGCAGGAAAAAGUUACCAGUGUUCUUCCCAGAGCCGUUUCAGGAGCCGUAAUUAUGCUUUUGUGUAUCAAAGGAGAAGAAUGUUUACACCUGACCAAGCCUCUGGGUAGAUGAGAUGUUCUGUCUUGGAAAAUUGUCACCUUCAGGGUGGCUGCUCUCACACAGCUAAUGCAGAGCACAAUUUUUCCCUGCAGUGUAGUUGUAGCAACCUGCCAGUGUUCACCCAAGGCUACAGCAGUUUUCUCUGCUUCCACAGCCUGUAGGUCAGAAUCUGGCCUGACAAAAAGUGCUAAUGUGGAGUCUCCAGAGCUCAGUCUGUGAUUUCUGCUAUAUACCAUUGACUUCUUAAAGAAAGAAAAGUAUUUGUAUCCCAGCAAAACACAUAAUAAAAGUUAUAAUUUAGAUAGAAUUUUAGGGUAAUUACCUAUAGUGAGGGUUGGAUUGGUGUGAGCAUCACCAGCUCCUGCUCUUUCUGAACUCAUGUGCAGCCUUUUGUUGCACCCCAGGGCCUGCAGAAAGGGCUGUGAUGUGCACCAGAGGUCCCAGUGCAAGGACAGCCAUGUGCUGGGGGCUCUGCUGCUGCUGGGUCCCCACAGGUGCUGCUGUGGUUUGAGCCUCUGUUCAGGUAUCUCACAGCUCACUGAGGAGCAGAGCAAGUAAAGACUACAAAGCUGCAGUCUGGAAAUGAGAAAUAGAUGUUGAGUUAUAAAAUAUUAUGCAAGUAAACUAACACCCCCCUUUAACAGCCAGAAAUAAACUUCUUUGAUGAGGGCUUAGCUAUGAUUCCAUCUAUACUGAAAUAAUUUCAGAAGAGUGCAGCUUCUAGAAAAGGUUUAAAACAUGGGAUUUAAUGAAACAGAGUUUAAAAACCGCCAGAGCCAGCCAUCCUUCCAGGGCUGCGGGGUCGGCUGAGCUUUCCCAGCACCCCGAGACAGAUGUGGGGCUCAGCACAGCGGUGCUGAA